AAGCCGGUGGCACAGUGGUGAAUGCGUGAAGUCCGUUGAAUUUCAGAACACGGUUCGAGCCCGUGUCGGCCGG